GUGCACGGUCAUAGCGGAGGAGUAUACCCGGUCCCAUUCCGAACCCGGAAGUCAAGCCCUCCUGCGUCCGUUCCGGUACUGUGGUGCGAGAGCCCACGGGAAAGUCGGUCACUGUGCCCC
rnacentral:rRNA from 1 species